UGGCGAACGGGUGAGUAACAUAUCGGAACGUGCCCUGGAGUGGGGGAUAACUAGUCGAAAGACUAGCUAAUACCGCAUACUAUCUACGGAUGAAAGUGGGGGAUCGCAAGACCUCAUGCUCGUGGAGCGGCCGAUAUCUGAUUAGCUAGUUGGUGGGGUAAAGGCCUACCAAGGCAUCGAUCAGUAGCUGGUCUGAGAGGACGACCAGCCACACUGGGACUGAUACACGGCCCAGACUCCUACGGGAGGCAGCAGUGGGGAAUUUUGGACAUGGGCGCAAGCCUGUAUCCAGCAAUGCCGCGUGAGUUGAAGAAGGCCUUCGGGUUGUAAAGCUCUUUUGUCAGGUAAGAAACGGUGGGGGCUAAUAUCCUCUGCUAAUGACGGUACCUGAAGAAUAAGCACCGGCUAACUACGUGCCAGCAGCCGCGGUAAUACGUAGGGUGCAAGCGUUAAUCGGAAUUACUGGGCGUAAAGCGUGCGCAGGCGGUUGUGCAAGACCGAUGUGAAAUCCCCGGGCUUAACCUGGGAAUGGCAUUGGUGACUGGCACGGCUAGAGUGUGUCAGAGGGGGGUAGAAUUCCACGUGUAGCAGUGAAAUGCGUAGAGAU
rnacentral:rRNA from 1 species